GGGGUUCUUACCCAAAAUGGCCCAAUUUCGGACAUUAUGAAAUAAGAUAAAACACUCUAUCCUCACGCGAACAACGCUCUUCCUUUCUCUACACUUCUUAGUGAAGCAACUCCCAUCUUGCUAAAAUCUCUCCCAACGAAUAGGUGUGCGUGAAAAUGUGUUCAAGUAAUUGUUGUGGUAAUAAUGAUAAUGAAGACGAUGAUUUUGAGACCCUGUUGCUCCUCCUAAACAGGGAAGCAUUAGAAGUACCCGCUCACAGGCGAAGCAAACUGUUAAAUCUAUUAAGGCCGGCAAGAUAAAGGCCGAGAGUGACAAUGCAAAUAGUAAAAAGAAAAAGAAGAAGGUUCCAGCUCUAGCCAAAAAGAAGAAGCUGAUGAACAUUUCCAAACCAGGAUUAGUUGUCAUACAAACACAGAGAUUGUCAGCAUUUUGAAGCAAUACUUGACUGAAACACAACAACAAUGUUUCGGGAUAGUUGUUUUGGCUACUUCCUUGACUUGCCUCCAUUCAACAAUCAGAAUCAACUCAUAUAUGCUUUGUUACUUGAAGGAAAUUGCCCUUGGUUGUGAAAAAGAGAUAUGGAUUAAGCUCAAUGGUAAUACCUUGCGAUUUGGCAUCAGAGAAUUUGCUUUGGUUACCCGUUUGAAGUGUUACGAAGAUGAUAACAUUGUGUAUGAUGAGCCAAAAGUCAACAGGUUACUGAAAGAGUAUUUUCCUGGAGAUGAAAAAAAAAUCAGUAACGAGGGAGAGUAUGCUUGAUCGCUUCAAGCAAAAAGGUUAGAACUCAGAUGAGGAUGCGCUCAAAAUGGCCAUACUAGUAUUCGUCCACCAUUUCCUUUUCUCUGAUGCUAAUAAUCAAAGCAUAUUAAAAAAAGAUUUUGAUAUAGUUGAGAGUGGUCAGUAUUAGAGGUAUGCAUGACGCAUAAAAGUAUUUGAAGACAUGUUCAGAACAAUGAGGGAUAAACUGCGUACCAAGUUGAUGAUGUACAGGCUCGAGGGUUUGCCACUUGCAUUCCAAGUAUGGUUUUAUGAGUGUUGCUCCACGGUGACAAAACUCUAGCUUCUUGUGUUGGCAAUAGUGUGCAACACAUCCUUAACUGGAAAGUCAAAUAAGCUCUGACGUUUGUGGACCUAACUAGUGGGAAACUCAUGACUAGUAUUUAUCAGUUGGAGUACCGGAACAUUACCUCUACCAGUGAAGAGAUAUCAAGGCUGAAUCUUGCGGUAUUUUUUUAAGAUGUCAAUUUUGAUCUUCCAUUGGAAGAAGACGUGCCUAACUUUGACAAUAAUCAUUCUAACGUUGCAUCCCCAGUUUAUGCACAGAAGCAACAGCCUCGUCCGAGAUGCAAUAGUUUUGCGAGCCCUGAUGAUUUGAAGGCUGAAAUUAAUGAGUUGAGGCUUGACGUCGGAAAGGUAAUGUAUUAACUUUUCCCUUUUCCAGUUUGUUUUUCAAUGUAAAGAUUCCUCUACCAAGAAAAGGAGGAUGGCGUUCCUGUUUCUGAGAAACAUCAAAAUGUUGAUGAUGAUGAUACAUACGACCACGACGAGUAUCAGCAUUUCGAUGAUCAUGACUUUGCCGCGGAUGCUCCUGAAGGAAAUAUGCCUGUUGAGCAAACUAAGUCAGGUGUCAAGGAAAAUGAGGGAGUACUGGUGGUGUUUCUGGGGCAGCGGAAACACCAGUUGUGAAUGAUUCAAACAUGUGGCAUGACAAUGAACUCACUGAUGAAGUUUUGACCAAGUUAAAUAUUUUCCAAAUUGUGCUUCAUUAGCAACAUGCCAAAAACAAGACAUGGCACCUGAAGAAUUGGCUCGGAAAAAGUUUCGAGCAAAAUGUGUUUCUUCUCCAUUUGUGGUAGAUUUUGGUUCUAAUAUAAGUUGCACAUCAAAGUCAGCGCCCAAGUGCAUUUUUGAGGAGAAGUGUCAUUUUUGUGAACAACGUUGAUGAGUUUGAUCCCUAUUCACCUGAGGGUAGAGCAUUUGCUGAGUUUGUUGAUGAUGGGAUGAUUUCAACACAAAGGUAGCUUCAUUGUUUUAAGAAUUUUCUUUUCUUUUACAAUGAUCCGUAUGUGUUGAUUAUUUUUCAUUUUCAUGAUUUUAAAGCGCCAAAGAGAUUUAUCCCGAGGAAAAAAAUAAUCUUCCCGUGCCUUUUAUAUUUGGAUCAAUUUAUGUGACAAAGAGGGAUUGUUUCCACACUAUUUCAUACAGUGAUCAACUUUUAUCUGACGAGGUAUAUGAUUUUCUUAUAAUUUUCAAUGUUUCUAUAUCAGAUGAAUCGUGAAUUAGAGGGUUAUGGAACAGUGUAUAAAUAUGCAUAUGAAUCGUGAAUUAGAGGGUCUCUUUGUUUCCAGCUAAUAUAUCAUUGUCCUAUACGCCGAAUAACUCGUCAACUAAAAUAAAACUUUUGCAGAAUAAAGGAAAUAAGCGCCUGAAUCAUGUAGAAGGUUCUUUUAUCUGCUACUGCUGCUAUAAUAUUAUUUUACUCAUGUAGUUUCAGUUUCUAUGCUUUUAUUUGUGUUAUAGUAAUAGAUUUUUUGAUGUUUGAAACUUUAAAGAAGAUGAAAUAUGGUGUUUGAAGAAGGGACAAGUGCCUGAGUCAUCUAGAAGGUUCUUUUAAUUUAUCUGUUACUGUUCGUAUGAUAUUACUCUAGUUUUGCUGUUACUACAUUUUUUUUUUUUUGGGUUUAUUGUGGAUUGUUGGGUCUGAAUUUGUUGCAUGUUAGUGUUUUGAAAUCUGUGGUUUUGCCCCAAGUCAAUGUAUGUUGAAUUUUGUGUACUUACAUUAGUUACUUUAAAGGGUUCAAAAUGGAGUAAAAUAGAUACUAAGGAUUUAUAUUGCCAACCCAAACUUGUUCAUUGUUGCGCUUGUUUUAGCUUGGUAUUUCAAUGGUGAGUCUUUUGGGGUUGGUGAGUCUUUUGGGGUUUAUACCUUUUUUAGCAUAUUUGUUGCUCUUGAAAUUAGUUAAAUUGAUGUCAAUUGAGCAUAUUUGUGAUCUGAAAUUUAUGUAAGCUAUAUUUGUUUUUUGAAUUCAACUGAAUACUUUAAAUUAGAGGUGAUAGAGAAGUUGGAAAGUGUUGAUGAAUGUUUCUCUUGCUGCGGGUUGUUCAGGAUGGAGUUUAGUUGCUGUUUAGCAAGUUCUAAAGUUUCUUUGGGUUGAUUCACUAAUGAUUAUUACUUUACUUCUAUUUUCCGAUCUCGGCACAUUGAUGUCAUAUUUUACUAUUUGAGAAAAAAAGGUAAAUAUGAUCCUACUGUUGAUGUACGGUUCACGACAACUGGCUGGUUUUUUGGUGGUAAGAUUGCUGAAUUCUAUGAUAAGUAUGUCAAGGCUAACCAUGCCGCUGCUAUUAUUCCUGAAGUUAAUGAGAUAUCUCAGUAUAUUCAAGUCUUUUACUGUGACGCAAAUGUACCAUGGGACACAGUUGAUCAUGUGUUAAUCCAGAUUCAUGUCAAGCGUGGAAAAAAAGAUACAGGUCACUGGGUCUUGAGUGUGCUUACGUUCAAGGAUAGGUGCAUCCACGUAUAUGACUCUAACCAUGGUGCUUUGAAUGAUUCUUUUGUUACAAAAGCACUUACCCCAAUUCUUGAUAAGUAACAGAUUCUAUGGCAAGAGGAGCGACAUUGAUUUAAAAAAUGAUGCAUACGCCGAUAGAGCACUAUCUGACCCAUUGUUGGUCAAUUUGGUCACUGAUCUGCCACAUCAGUUCAAUGCAUAAGUUCUUUUUUUUUUUUUUUUUUUUUUUUUUAAAUCAUGAUAUUUUGUGUAUGUACAGUAGCUUAUGUGAAAUUUUGGUGCUUACAGGGAUUGUGGUGCUUUUAUUGCUGCCUUCGCUGAGUAUUUCAUCAUGGGGAAAACAUAGACAAGAAGAAUUUCAACAUCGACACAUAUUACGCAAGAAUUGGAUCCCAGUUGUGGCAAUAUGGAUUGAAGAAACAACAGCUUGGUGUCGUGAGCGAUGAUGAGGUCAAGGACAGGAUCGACAAGAAGAAGAAGAAGAAGAAGAGGGGGCGGCCAAAAAAGCCGAGAAACGUAGUUCAUUUGUAGUUUCAGUGUACUUAUUAGGAGUAUUUGAUGUUAUGUUUUGUUAAAGUACCGCUUUUGAUGAAUCAUAAUACCUUUUUGCUAUUCGCGAAAGCAAAAAACUACUGUGACUAGUUAGUUUGUUAUGGAUAUUUUGUGUAAUUGACUCUUGUAAAAAUCUGAAGGCAUGGACCAAUUAUGGAAUUAUGAUUUUGUAUUUGUUUGCUCUUACCGAAUGAUGGUUAGUCA